UACUCUCUCUAGUUUGUUUCUCUCUCUUCCUCUUCUCUCUCAUAUACACAGCCACAACCCUCGAAACCCUCUUCCUCCUUAUUCUUCCUCUUCUUCUUCUUCUUCCUCUCUUCUACCCCCAAAUCCUCAACUUCUCUCUCUCUCUCUCUCUGCAACACCAUUAAAAACCCAAUUUUUAUAUCUAUAUAUUUGUAGAGAGUGAGAGUGUAAGAGAGAGAGUAAGAGAGAGAAAAAGGAAUGGAUUCGGAUCAAGGAAAGCUUUUCAUCGGUGGGAUUUCAUGGGAUACGAAUGAGGAGAAGCUGAAGGAGCAUUUCAGCAAUUAUGGUGAUGUUUUGAACACUUCUGUUAUGAGAGAGAAGAACACUGGUAAACCUAGAGGCUUUGGUUUCGUGGUUUUCUCAGAUCCUUCUGUUCUUGAUAGGGUUCUUGAAGACAAACAUGUUAUUGAUGGCAGAACGGUUGAUGCCAAGAGGGCUUUCUCAAGAGAGGACCAACAGAUUUCUGUCUCUUCAAGAUCUGGAAACUCCAAUUCUGGUAUGAAUUCUGGGAAUGGUGGAAAUAUGAGAACCAAAAAGAUAUUUGUUGGAGGGUUGCCUCCCACUCUGGCUGAAGAAAAAUUCCGUCAGUACUUUGAGGCUUAUGGACAUGUAACUGAUGUCGUAGUUAUGUAUGACCAGAAUACUGGACGACCACGAGGAUUUGGGUUUAUUACUUUUGAUACUGAGGAGGCAGUUGAUAGGGUUUUGCACAAGACAUUUCAUGAUUUAAAUGGUAAACAAGUAGAGGUAAAGCGUGCACUCCCAAAGGAUGCCAAUCCUGGUGCAAAUAGUCGUAUGGGUGGUGCUGGAGGUGGUAGUGGCGGAAUGGGUGGUUAUCAAGGGUAUGGAGCUUCUGGUGGAAACCAAAAUGCAUAUGAUGGUCGUUCAGAUUCUAGGUAUAUGCAGCCUCAAAGUGCUGCAGGUGGAUUCCCACCUUAUGGAUCCUCUGCAUACAGUGCUGCUGCUGGAUAUGGGUAUGGUUCGGCUAGCAAUGGCCUUGGUUAUGGUGCAGCAUAUGGAAGUUAUGGUGGUGCCGCUGCUGGUUAUGGCGGACCUGCUGCUGCAACAUAUGGGAACCCAAAUGUCCCUAAUGCUGCUUAUGCUGGUGGUGGCCCAAGGAGUUCAUGGCCUGCUCAGGCUCCCUCUGGCUAUGGCUCUAUGGGUUACGGUAACACUGCUCCUUGGGGUGCUCCAAGUGGUGGUGCUGGAUCUGGUGCAGCAACUGCAGGUCAAUCUCCCAGUGCAGCGGCUGGAUAUGGGAAUCAAGGUUAUGGGUAUGGUGGUUAUGGUGGCGGGUAUGGUGCAAGUGAUAAUUCUUAUGGGAAUCCUGGUGUAUAUGGUGCUGUUGGUGGGCGUACUGGGAGUGCUCCAAAUAGUAAUGCUAGUGGUCAGGGUGGUAGUGAACUGCAAGGUAGUGGUGGCAGUGGCAGCUAUAUGGGCAGCGGCUAUGGGGACACAAAUGGAAAUUCUGGCUAUGGAAAUGCAGCUUGGAGAUCUGAACAGGCUCAAGCAUCUGGUAAUUAUGGGACUCCUCAGGGAAAUGGGGGGCAAGCUGGUUAUGGUGGUGGCUAUGGUGCUGCCCAGUCUCGACAAGCCCAACAGCAGUAAUUUUGAUAGUUAAAUCUCUUGCUGGAUCUUGAACUUGACUAUCCCUGCCUGUUAAUCUUACAACAUGAGCUUACAAUGAUUUCUUUCAGCGGCAAAACUCGCGUUCGAUCUUCAUACACAAUGGGACUGGAGGAGGUGCACGAGUUUUGAAGUGGAGCCAAGUGUCCACUCAUGUCAUGGCUAAGGAAUGAACUUAUUCAGUCUAUUGUGCAUUUGUGGGCCAACACAUCAUCAAAUUUGGAGAUUCCUGGCUUUUCAAGUGAUAAAAUGUCAUAGCCUUCAACCUGGUUUGUGGUGGCUGACAGAUUUGUGGGGGAUGGUUUGCAGCAUAUUGAUUAUAUCAGUUGGCUGUGACUCAUUAAAAUUUUGACAUGUGUUUUAGAUGUCUAGUUGAGUGUUAUCUUAGAGUUUGGUUAUGUGUUAAAGUUCAUGCUUUGGAGAACUGUCAAAACAAUUUUACUGUGAUAGGAUAUUUUACUUUUCUUGUUGUCUUCAUUCCCAGCAUUUGUCUUUCAGUUUCAGCUUCUGUGAAAUUGGUUUUGCUAUUUA